rnacentral:rRNA from 1 species
AAGACCUUGCGCUUUUGGAGCGGCCGAUGUCUGAUUAGCUUGUUGGUGAGGUAAAAGCUUACCAAGGCUUCGAUCAGUAGCUGGUCUGAGAGGACGGCCAGCCACACUGGGACUGAGACACGGCCCAGACUCCUACGGGAGGCAGCAGUGGGGAAUUUUGGACAAUGGGGGCAACCCUGAUCCAGCCAUGCCGCGUGAGUGAAGAAGGCCUUCGGGUUGUAAAGCUCUUUCAGCCGGAACGAAACGGUUACGGUUAAUACCCGUGACUACUGACGGUACCGGAAGAAGAAGCACCGGCUAACUACGUGCCAGCAGCCGCGGUAAUACGUAGGGUGCAAGCGUUAAWCGGAAUUACUGGGCGUAAAGCGUGCGCAGGUGGUUUUGUAAGUCAGAUGUGAAAUCCCCGGGCUUAACCUGGGAACU